rnacentral:rRNA from 1 species
CCUACGGGUGGCAGCAGUGGGGAAUAUUGCACAAUGGGGGAAACCCUGAUGCAGCGACGCCGCGUGAGUGAAGAAGUAUUUCGGUACGUAAAGCUCUAUCAGCAGGGAAGAAAAUGACGGUACCUGACUAAGAAGCCCCGGCUAACUACGUGCCAGCAGCCGCGGUAAUACGUAGGGGGCAAGCGUUAUCCGGAUUUACUGGGUGUAAAGGGAGCGUAGACGGCAGCGCAAGUCUGGAGUGAAAUCCCAUGGCUUAACCAUGGAACUGCUUUGGAAACGGUGCAGCUAGAGUGCAGGAGAGGUAAGCGGAAUUCCUAGUGUAGCGGUGAAAUGCGUAGAUAUUAGGAGGAACACCAGUGGCGAAGGCGGCUUACUGGACUGUAACUGACGUUGAGGCUCGAAAGCGUGGGGAGCAAACAGGAUUAGAUACCCCAGUAGUC